UACGUAGGGGGCUAGCGUUGUUCGGAAUUAUUGGGCGUAAAGCGCACGUAGGCGGCUCCUUAAGUCAGGGGUGAAAUCCCGAGGCUCAACCUCGGAACUGCCUUUGAUACUGGGGAUAUCGAGUCCGGGAGAGGUGAGUGGAACUGCGAGUGUAGAGGUGAAAUUCGUAGAUAUUCGCAAGAACACCAGUGGCGAAGGCGGCUCACUGGCCCGGUACUGACGCUGAGGUGCGAAAGCGUGGGGAGCAAACAGG
rnacentral:rRNA from 1 species